GUGAAUCAUCGAAUCUUUGAACGCAACUUGCACUCUCUUUUAGAGAGUAUGCCUGUUUGAGAAUCUAUAAAUACUCAAAACUCUGGUUUUGGAGUUUGAACUUUCUUGGCGAGAACCGAGUAGUUUUAAAGACAUAAGGCUAGUGAUCUCAGUCAUCUAGGAAAAACAGUGUUGAAAUAGGUAAAUCAGCUCGAUUGUCCUUUCUACGCCCAGUAAAUCUAUUUAACGAAAAUCGCAAUGCCUCUAACCUCAAGAACUAGGUCUCAAAUCAGGUAGGAAGACCCGCUGAACUUAAGCAUA
rnacentral:misc_RNA from 1 species